rnacentral:lncRNA from 1 species
AACCACUUCUUUGUAGCUUCAAUCACAGAUGAAGAAACCAUUUGAAGAACACAUCUCAAAAUGCAUAUAGCUUCAAUCACAUCAAAGUAGGCUAAAAUACUCUCAGGCUUGUGGAGGUCGCUGAGAACAUCAAGAAGAGGUAGGUUAUGAAAGAGCUUAGAUCUAGGUUUCUCCUCCAUGAGGAUUUUGGGGGUUUCUUCUUUCUUGUUCGGCUUGUUAUUUCUUGUCGAGUUUAUUAUUUUGCUUUUAAUUUAAGCAUGGAAUCUAAAUUGGGUAUCUAUUUAUCUAGGGCUAUUGGAGAUUGUCGGGGAAAGGAGGAAAAAUGUGAUUUGCUAUAGAGAAUGCGACAAAGAUGAGU